rnacentral:rRNA from 1 species
GACGAACGCUGGCGGCGUGCUUAACACAUGCAAGUCGAACGAUGAAGCCGGAGCUUGCUCUGGUGAAUUAGUGGCGAACGGGUGAGUAACACGUGAGUAACCUGCCCUUGACUCUGGGAUAACUGCGGGAAACUGUAGCUAAUACCGGAUACGACCCUCGGAGGCAUCUCCUGGGGGUGGAAAGAAUUUCGGUCAAGGAUGGACUCGCGGCCUAUCAGCUAGUUGGUGAGGUAAAGGCUCACCAAAGCGACGACGGGUAGCCGGCCUGAGAGGGGGACCGGCCAAACUGGGACUGGGACACGGCACAGACUCCUACGGGAGGCAGCAGUGGGGAAUAUUGCACAAUGGGCGCAAGCCUGAUGCAGCAACGCCGCGUGAGGGAUGACGGCCUUCGGGUUGUAAACCUCUUUUAGCAGGGAAGAAGCGAAAGUGACGGUACCUGCAGGAAAAGCACCGGCUAACUACGUGCCAGCCGCCGCCGUAA